CCCAGUUUUCUGUUUAAGAUUUUAAAUAAUUCAUCCUGUCUGAUCUCAGAAGCUAAGCAGGGUCGAACCUGAUUAGUACUUGGAUGGGAGACCACCUAGGAAGAUCAAGUGUUAUAGGUG
rnacentral:rRNA from 1 species